rnacentral:rRNA from 1 species
GACGAACGCUGGCGGCGUGCUUAACACAUGCAAGUCGAACGGAAAGGCCCUGCUUUUGUGGGGUGCUCGAGUGGCGAACGGGUGAGUAACACGUGAGUAACCUGCCCUUGACUUUGGGAUAACUUCAGGAAACUGGGGCUAAUAACGGAUAGGAGCUCCUGCUGCAUGGUGGGGGUUGGAAAGUUUCGGCGGUUGGGGAUGGACUCGCGGCUUAUCAGCUUGUUGGUGGGGUAGUGGCUUACCAAGGCUUUGACGGGUAGCCGGCCUGAGAGGGUGACCGGCCACAUUGGGACUGAGAUGCGGCCCAGACUCCUACGGGAGGCAGCAGUGGGGAAUAUUGCACAAUGGGCGGAAGCCUUAUGCAGCAACGCCGCGUGCGGGAUGACGGCCUUCGGGUUGUAAACCGCUUUCGCCUGUGACGAAGCGUGAGUGACGGUAAUGGGUAAAGAAGCACCGGCUAACUACGUG